rnacentral:rRNA from 1 species
AAAGAACCCCGGCGAGGGGAGUGAAACAGAACCUGAAACCGUGUACGUACAAGCAGUGGGAGCCCCACCACUAAGCCAGUGGUGAACUCCACAUACGCAUCCUUUGCUGAGGAUGCGGUUAACGGAGCGAAAGCGACGUUCAACCGCAAAAGAAGCAGAGGGGGCUUAGUGGUGGGGUGACUGCGUACCUUUUGUAUAAUGGGUCAGCGACUUAUAUUCUGUAGCAAGGUUAACCGCAUAGGGGAGCCGGAGGGAAACCGAGUCUUAACCGGGCGUUAAGUUGCAGGGUAUAGACCCGAAACCCGGUGAUCUAGCCAUGGGCAGGUUGAAGGUUGGGUAACACUAACUGGAGGACCGAACCGACUAAUGUUGAAAAAUUAGCGGAUGACCUGUGGCUGGGGGUGAAAGGCCAAUCAAACCGGGAGAUAGCUGGUUCUCCCCGAAAGCUAUUUAGGUAGCGCCUCGUGAAUUCAUCUCCGGGGGUAGAGCACUGUUUCGGCCAGGGGGCCAUCCCGGCUUACCAAUCCGAUGCAAACUGCGAAUACCGGAGAAUGUUAUCACGGGAGACACACGGCGGGUGCUAACGUCCGUCGUGAAGAGGGAAACAACCCAGACCGCCAGCUAAGGUCCCAAAGUCAUGGUUAAGUGGGAAACGAUGUGGGAAGGCCCAGACAGCCAGGAUGUUGGCUUAGAAGCAGCCAUCAUUUAAAGAAAGCGUAAUAGCUCACUGGUCGAGUCGGCCUGCGCGGAAGAUGUAACGGGGCUAAACCAU